CCCUUAGAUGUCCGGGGCUGCAUGCGCGCUACACUGAAGGAAUCAGCGUGCUAAAACCAUUGUCGAAAGGCAUUGGUAAACCCAUUAAAAUCCUACGUGAUUGGGAUCGGGAAUUGCAAUUAUUUCCCUUGAACGAGGAAUUCCCAGUAAGUGUGGGUCAUAAGCUCGCGUUGAUUACGUCCCUGCCCUUUGUACACACCGCCCGUCGCUGCCCGGGACUGAGCCGUUUCGAGAAAAGCGGGGACUGCUGCUGUCGGGGCUUUCGGGCCUUGGCUUCGGUGGAAACCGCUUUAAUCGCAGUGGCUUGAACCGGGCAAAAGUCGUAACA
rnacentral:rRNA from 1 species